AGUUUAAGUUAAUAUCAAACUCAGGACCUUCAAAGCCCUAUAUAGGAGACCAAAACCCCUAACUUCUG
rnacentral:tRNA from 1 species